UACAUAAGAAAUAAAAAAAAA
ensembl:piRNA 21ur-5684 ncRNA